AAAAAAUCAGUUUAGAACAACAUGACCGAGUAACUUUUGGGUGAACUAUCCCUUUAAAUGAGUUUUUUUUUUAAAUUCCUCUUUUGUAUAAUGUCCUUGUUAACAAAACCGGUAUACAAGAGAGAACUUAAACUACAGUUUACAAAGAGACCAUAUAGAAUCUGUUCAUCUGAAAAUGUGCACACUCUAUUGACUGUUGAUCAGCUUUUCAAAAGCUAUUUUAUUGUACACAGGAUUGUUGACUAUUGUGUAUAGGACAGUAUUCACACAAUAGGCCAUUUCAAAGUCCUCAAGGUUUAGUCUUCGUGAAGGUAAUGAUUUGAAACCUCUUGUGGAUUUUUCACCAUUUAUAGAUAUUGUAUUUAUCACUAAAAGAGUUUGAAUCCAAUUGCAUGUAUGUUAUAUGUGUAUGCGUAGCAACCUAGGACAGCUGGCCUUUUCCCAGAGGAGACACAUUAAGAUUACUAAUAAUUUUUUGCGAUAAUAGGCACAACAUGAUCUGUAGCUCUCUAGGUGAACAUUCGCAUUACCUUCCUCAAUAUGCACUAACUGCUAUUUAGUAUGUGCGGCACUAAUAGAUAUUUUAAUAAUUCAUCAGUAUGUAUUGUAAAUUAUUCACCUCCCUGUACGGUCAUUGGUGCCGUGGAACCUAACCUAGUUUAAAGCCAUUCAUCCUGACAGAAGUAAGAUUGAUCAUUUUGGCUAAACGUAGGUAGGUUAUAAGUCUAAGUGUCAUGCAACAAAUAACAUGCAUUUGGCUAAUAUUUAGACUAAAGUCAAUAUAAGCUGUUAUCGCUGCAAAUGACCCCUAAAAUGCAGAGAACAGUAAACGCCACUCAGUUUACUGAGGAGUUCAUUAGCUAGACCACACAAUAUCGAUGCCGGGGUAGCAUAUGAACUCCAUUUCUAUUCGUCUAUUCUUUCAAGAAUCAGCAGAAUUAGAUUGAAGACUGCAUCUUUGCUGUCCCAGAGGCAUAUUAUGCUGUUGUCCCUUGACUGCAGUAACCAUUGUUCUAAUGUACAUAAUUGGCAAUUGAAUAGAUUCAGAGCAUUAAAAGCUGCUUAUUUGCCUAUGUAAAGAAUGCUUUGAACCUGGUAAUAUGAGCUCCAAAUGCUCUGAUUGAAUGGUUGCAAUAUAUAACCAGAUUUAUUAACCCAUUUCGUUGCUUUGUAAUUGUUUUAAAAUAAUGGGCUUUUCAAAGUACGGCUACUUAUUGCUAUCACUUUAUGCGUAGACACGAUUAAAAGGAAUGUUCGAAACAGUCAUACUUCGAAACGCACAUAGUGUCGUUUUAAUAUCAUGGUUACAGAUAUAUCCACUUGUAAUUACGUGAACUUAUAACCAUGUUUUUGUGUUUUAUCAGCAUGCAACAUAAGCCUAAUCAACCCCAGCAACCUUGUGAUAAGCUUAGCUUAUGGCCAAAAGGUCUCCAACCUGGAGCAGAUGUUCCAAAGCUUAUAUCAAAGCUCAAGCUAAAGUGUUCGUUUAGACAGAUUGGAUUUGCAGCAGUGCGGAGGGGUUGGAGAUGUUGGCUUUGUGAUUUCGGCAGGAUUUGGACCAUCAAGCGGACAUGCCUGGAGGAGGACAGUAGCUGUCUGCGAGCUGAGAUCCAGGAGCUGAAAACCGACAUUAGACCCCUCACAUAAGUGAUCCAUCGCGCUCAACACAUGCUCGGCCUGGAUCUCUGCCUUUGAUCUGCAUAAUAUGCCUCCUCCUCCUCUUCAUCUCCCUUCUCCGUUUAUCACAUCAUGUGUGAAUGCAGAACAUCAGUGAAAUGUUGUAGAAGGUUCUCCAUAGUCUCCCGUGUCCAACGUGCCCAUGCCAAGAUCCUGCUGCUGUACCUUUAGCCGUGACAAGUCUGCCUCUGCGCCAGCUGUGCCCAUGGGGCGUCAUUGGUCGUAACAAGAGUCUGUGUGUCCGCUUCAGCGCAACCCCAUUGUGGUGUUAGAGGAUAAUAACACUCUGCUUCCUUUUGUCAGUGUGUUUUGCUGGAUGAUAAACACAGGGGAGUAAGGACCGGCAGAGGAGCUCAGGCUCAAAGAGUCCAAAGCCAGAGGACCUAUGAAGGCUCAGGUGGAAGAUCUGAGGAAACAGCUCAAGGCCAAGAGCAGGAUUAUUCAAAGUCUGAAAGAGGAAAUUAAGACUCCUUUGUUCCAGAGUGCACAAAAGAAGAAUGAGGUGGUGCAAUAAGAAUGAAAAGAAAGACAAGCGUUUGACCACUGCAAGAAGGUCUGCAAGAAAAGGCACACACACUUUGGUAAAAGUUGCAGGCCAGCGAGGAGAAAGUUAAUAGCCAGGGCUUAGAAGUCGGCCAGCUCAAGUCCAAAUUACAGGAAAAGACAGAACAAUCUCAACAGCUGCAAGAUCAAAUUCUCAAGCAGCAGGAGGCUCUAAGUAGGGCAAGCCAAACUCUCAAAGACACCAGGAAAGCAGCUGGCAAUAAGGCAAACCAAACAGACGUUAAGUUCUGCAUGGGUCCCGUUACUGUUUCCACAUCUGGUUCUGUUUCGCUGCGAAAACCUUCUCUCUGAUCUCAUAUGUUGAACUACUGUAACUUUGCCACUGUCUGUUUCCUGUUGGAAAAAGGGGAGAGGAGGAGGAAAAAUGCGUCGAACAAUAAUAUCUUUUGUUCCAGAGAAGUUCCUCCGUUAGCGCAGCUGAACAAAUACCCUUAAUAGUUUGGUUUGAAAGAACUCCUCCCAUCGCCGGUGUCUGAUAUUUAUGCUUUCAGCGGCGCUGGACCAAGCCCUUGGUUUUCAUUUCUCUGGAUUUGUUUGAACAGAUCAUCCCUUCCACACAGAAGAACGAGGUACACAGAGGGGUUUGUUUCUUCCCCCCUUUCCGAAUGCUACUAAAUUAAUAAGACGUCAAAGACAACAAAACCCAGUGUUUUACUUGCUCGACCCUGGCCUCCAUUAGUGAGGAGACAUGAGGGAAGAUAAUUUGUCCCUCUGAAGUUAGUGCACAUCAGAGGAGAGAGACAAUAACAAAGGCCUCCGCGGCGGGGGCCAUGAUGCAUUCCAUUCCUCCUCACAUUACCCAUCAGCCCCUGCUGCCGACUGGCCAGAGUGACUUACAUGAACUCUUUGAUAAAGCAUUUUAUGUGAUAAUUUACAGAGUCAAUAUAGCAAAGUUUGUCAUAUUUUUUCUUAAAAUGGGAACAAAAAAAUAUUGUUUGCAAUAAUCAACAAGGUCUACUGUAAUUUACAUACAUAUAUCCUGGAAAUGUGAAAAGGUGUGUAGGAUUUUAUAUAUAUUUAAAUAUAAAUUAUUUGGUUAAUAACAUGAUUGUUUAUCAUUGUAUGAUAUAAGGCUUUAUAGAAAAUUAAACUGAAUAAUAAAGAAUUAUAUGAUUAUUAAUUAUAUAAUAAUAUAUCAUAUUUCUUUUCUUAAAAUCACUCUAAUAUGCUGAUUUAGGUUGUUAACAAAUAUUGCACACCAAUGUUGAAAUCAGCGUUUUUGGUGUUGUUUAUUUAUUUAUUUUGUUAAUGCCAUACUUUCCAAAAAUGUAUAUAUUUUGUAGAUAUGUAUGUAUGUUGUAAUUACUGUGACUAUUUUGGAAAUGCAUUAUUUUUCUAAAUUAGUUUCUUCUCAAACAAUGUUCACGUCUUUUAUCAAUAUACCUAAUAUGGCUUUUAUAUAUUUUUCAACAUUAUAUUCAUUUUAAAAUGUUUAAUAGUUGUGAUGCACAUUUUCUCCUUUCAUCUUCGCAUUUAAUUAAACACAUUUUAAAGAGAGAUUCCACCGGUAAUUUAAGCAGACGAAAUUGACCCUGGCCUUCAGAAUGACUUUGCAGUUCUCCUCAAACGUCAAAACCCAAACUCUCCUCGUAGAAGAACUCUUGUCAACUCUUUGAGUUCACAAAGUCUUAAUAAACCGGCUUCUCCAUAAAUAUUGGAUGUGAGUGUCACUCACUCUAUUUGUUUAUUUGCUUGUUUGUUGGUUGGAUAUAUCACACUUAUUCCCAGAUCUCCUUCUGUUCUCUGUAUAGGAUGUCUAAACGUCAGAUGGGAUUCUCUUUUUGUCAGUAUUUGAAGCCGGGGAGUGCGUGCAGGGAGGGGCCGUGGAGAUACGAGAUGUAGUGAUUGAUUUAAAAAUACCUCCUCCUCUCUGAUUUCAGGGGCUUCCUGUCCAUAAUGCACGUCUUUUAGCGUAAAGUUCUCGUCUAAAAGUUGUGAGUGAUUGACCCAGUUGGUGGUGGGUUGCGCUACGUGCUAGCUGCUUGUGACAUGUUUCGCUUUGCUAAAUAAUCAACAAAGGCUUGCGGCUGUCACAAAGUGGCAGCAGCGCAACUUAUCAAGAGUGCAGUUUAUAGUCGUAUUUCGCAUUAUUUUUGUAAUACUUCUUAUGCGUCUCGUCUAAUGCACCGUAAUGCGAUUCCAUAUAUCGUUGACCUUUAUAUUGGGGUCAGCUUACUACUUCUAAGAUGCGCUUGGAUUUUAUUACUUUUGCUCUGUAGCAAAGAACAUCUGUUCCACUCUGCAGAAAAUUCAGUUUAGUCUUAAAAUUAUUUAUCUGAUGGUCUAAAUGAGCUUCUGUAGUCUGACAUUUAAUUUGAGUUUGGAAUAUCACAAAGGUACAGUGGAAACAAAGUGUAUAAUAACAACAAAUACGCCGUUGUUUUGCUACCUCCGUUCCAGCAUUUCUAAUGUGCUAUAAAAGCUGAUUUGCUUUUAAUGUUUCAUGAGAAGGUUACAUCCUUCUUUUAGGAGCGAUGCAUUCACACUUUGCUUUUUGUCUUCGUUUUUCUUUUUUUUCCCUUUUUUUCCUCUAUCCCCGUGCUUUCAGAUGCGGUUAAUGUCAGUCGCUGUGCACUGGAGCACAUCAGAUGUCAGGCCUAUGCAAUUGUGCUACAAUGAGCCUGUUAAAUGUGCUUUGGAAGGGUGUAACGCAAUAUAUUAUGCAUGCAUGAAAUGUACAAACACAAUGAAAUUAUGCACUACAGAUAUGAUACAGUUCUCUCAAGUCUUGCGGAGGCACUCUGUGAUACAUUUUAAAUGCAAUUUUUUUUUGUGGCCACCGGCAAAAUGAUGCUGCUGUCUAAUGGUGCAUUCAUGGACAUUGA